rnacentral:rRNA from 1 species
AGUGAACGCUGGCGGUAGGCCUAACACAUGCAAGUCGAACGGCAGCACAGUAAGAGCUUGCUCUUACGGGUGGCGAGUGGCGGACGGGUGAGGAAUACAUCGGAAUCUACUUUUUCGUGGGGGAUAACGUAGGUAAACUUACUCUAAUACCGCAUACGACCUACGGGUGAAAGCAGGGGAUCUUCUGACCUUGCGCGAUUGAAUGAGCCGAUGUCGGAUUAGCUAGUUGGCGGGGUAAAGGCCCACCAAGGCGACGAUCCGUAGCUGGUCUGAGAGGAUGAUCAGCCACACUGGAACUGAGACACGGUCCAGACUACUACGGGAGGCAGCAGUGGGGAAUAUUGGACAAUGGGCGCAAGCCUGAUCCAGCCAUACCGCGUGGGUGAAGAAGGCCUUCGGGUUGUAAAGCCCUUUUGUUGGGAAAGAAAAGCAGCAGGUUAAUACCCCGCUGUUCUGACGGUACCCAAAGAAUAAGCACCGGCUAACUUCGUG